rnacentral:tRNA from 1 species
GGCACUAUGGCGGAGUGGUUAACGCGCGGGCCUGCUAAGCCCGUUCCUUCGGGAGCGUGAGUUCGAAUCUCACUGGUGUCG